UGCUAGCAGCCUGUACGCUCUGGGCAACACUGCCAGAUUCCUGAGUAAAGGUACCAACCGCAGAAGCUAUCAACUACAAAUGACAGAACCCAUGAUGUAUGUCAGGACUUCAGUGCCCAGAGGGGCCAGUAGGCUGCAUACCCAGUUACAGAGGGCCAGGACUAUUAACAGCUGGACUUCGACCAAGGAACACACAGGGGAGAGAGCCUUUCUUUGAAGAGUGGGAGGUAAACAGAAGCAGAGGCUAAAAAGAACAGGCCGAGUGCUCUUAAAGGUUGCACACAAUCUAAGGAAAUGUUGAUACCAGUUGAAGACAUGAGAGAUGAAAUUCUACAUAAAUACCUUGGAGUAUUUGUAUUUAAAAGAGUCAUCCUCUUUAAUUAACGUCUCUUUGUAGGUAGGUUGUUAUAGCACAGUAUAGAUAAGCAAUCUCUGGACUUUCCAAGGUCAUUAUGAACAAAGACAAGAUAGUGGCUGGCCAUGAAGAAACUGGAUAUCUGAUUCUCAGCCACCUUUGAAUCAUGUGAAUCUGAAUGCAGAAAAAGAAUCAAGAUCAUAACACUAAGUCUCCCACACAUUAUUGGGAUAAUAAGUAGUUGGAAAGUUGUAAAGAAAGUUUCUUCUUCUAGGCCUCAAAGCUUUUAGAAAAAAUGCAGGUUGAGUACUCCUUAUUCUAAAUGCUUGAGACCAGAAGUGUUUUGAAUUCCUGAUUUUUUUCAGAUUUUAGGAUAUUUGCAUUAUACCAAUUGAACAUCCAAAAUCUGAAAAUCUGGAAUCUGAAAUGCUCCAAGGCUCCAAGGAGCAUUUCCUUUGAGCAUUAUGUUGGCACUCAAUAAGUUUUGGAUUUUGGAGCAUUUCAGAUUUUGGAUUUUCAGAUUUAGGAUGCUCAACUUGUAAUUGAAAAUAUUGGGUAACUUGCUUAACCUUGCUAAGACCCAUUUCUUUUUCUGUAAAAUCAGGCUGAUGAUGGAAACCUUAUUGAAUUCUGAUAAUCAGAAAUAAGCUAUCCUAUGUAGGUGUCCAAUAAAUGGUGGCUGAUUUUAUU